rnacentral:rRNA from 1 species
UACGUAGGGUGCGAGCGUUGUCCGGAAUUAUUGGGCGUAAAGAGCUUGUAGGCGGUUUGUCGCGUCUGCUGUGAAAAUCCGGGGCUUAACCCCGGGCCUGCAGUGGGUACGGGCAGACUAGAGUGCGGUAGGGGAGACUGGAAUUCCUGGUGUAGCGGUGAAAUGCGCAGAUAUCAGGAGGAACACCGGUGGCGAAGGCGGGUCUCUGGGCCGUAACUGACGCUGAGGAGCGAAAGCGUGGGGAGCGAACAGG